rnacentral:rRNA from 1 species
GACGAACGCUGGCGGCGUGCUUAACACAUGCAAGUCGAACGGAAAGGCCCUGCUUUUGUGGGGUGCUCGAGUGGCGAAGGGGUGAGUAACACGUGAGUAACCUGCCCUUGACUUUGGGAUAACUUCACGAAACUGGGGCUAAUACCGGAUAGGAUCUCCUGCUGCAUGGGGGGGGUUGGAAAGUUUCGGCGGUUGGGGAUGGACUCGCGGCUUAUCAGCUUGUUGGGGGGGUAGUGGCUUACCAAGGCUUUGACGGGUAGCCGGCCUGAGAGGGUGACCGGCCACCUUGGGCCUGCGAUACGGCGCAGACUCGUACGUGCGGCAGCAGUGGAGAAUAUUGCACAGUGGGCGGAAGCCUGAUACAGCAGCGCUCCGUGCGGGAUGCCGGCUUUCGGGUUAUAAACCGCUUUCGCCUGUGACGAAGCGUUAGUGACGGUAAUGGGUAAAGAAGCCCCGGCUAACUACGUG